rnacentral:rRNA from 1 species
UGCGUAGGUGGUGAGGUAAGUCGGAUGUGAAAUCUCCGAGCUCAACUCGGAAACUGCAUUGGAAACUACCUUGCUCGAGGGUUGGAGGGGGGACUGGAAUGCUUGGUGUAGCAGUGAAAUGCGUAGAUAUCAAGCGGAACACCAGUGGCGAAGGCGAGUCCCUGGACAACUCCUGACACUGAGGCACGAAAGCUAGGGGAGCAAACA